rnacentral:rRNA from 1 species
GGAGCUGUCCUUAGUACGAGAGGACCGGGAUGGACACACCGCUGGUGUACCAGUUGUCUUGCCAAAGGCAUCGCUGGGUAGCUAUGUGUGGACGGGAUAAGUGCUGAAAGCAUCUAAGCAUGAAGCCCCCCUCAAGAUGAGAUUUCCCAUAGCGCAAGCUAGUAAGAUCCCUGAAAGAUGAUCAGGUUGAUAGGUCAGAGGUGGAAGCGUGGCGACAUGUGUAGCUGACUGAUACUAAUCGAUCGAGGACUUAACCAAAC